rnacentral:rRNA from 1 species
GAGUUUGAUCCGGCUCAGGACGAACGCUGGCGGCGUGCCUAAUACAUGCAAGUAGAACGCUGAAGGAGGAGCUUGCUUCUCUGGAUGAGUUGCGAACGGGUGAGUAACGCGUAGGUAACCUGCCUGGUAGCGGGGGAUAACUAUUGGAAACGAUAGCUAAUACCGCAUAAUAUUGACUAUUGCAUGAUAGUCAGUUGAAAGGUGCAAUUGCACCACUACCAGAUGGACCUGCGUUGUAUUAGCUAGUUGGUGGGGUAACGGCUCACCAAGGCGACGAUACAUAGCCGACCUGAGAGGGUGAUCGGCCACACUGGGACUGAGACACGGCCCAGACUCCUACGGGAGGCAGCAGUAGGGAAUCUUCGGCAAUGGACGGAAGUCUGACCGAGCAACGCCGCGUGAGUGAAGAAGGUUUUCGGAUCGUAAAGCUCUGUUGUAAGAGAAGAACGAGUGUGAGAGUGGAAAGUUCACACUGUGACGGUAUCUUACCAGAAAGGGACGGCUAACUACGUGCCAGCAGCCGCGGUAAUACGUAGGUCCCGAGCGUUGUCCGGAUUUAUUGGGCGUAAAGCGAGCGCAGGCGGUUAGAUAAGUCUGAAGUUAAAGGCUGUGGCUUAACCAUAGUACGCUUUGGAAACUGUUUAACUUGAGUGCAAGAGGGGAGAGUGGAAUUCCAUGUGUAGCGGUGAAAUGCGUAGAUAUAUGGAGGAACACCGGUGGCGAAAGCGGCUCUCUGGCUUGUAACUGACGCUGAGGCUCGAAAGCGUGGGGAGCAAACAGGAUUAGAUACCCUGGUAGUCCACGCCGUAAACGAUGAGUGCUAGGUGUUAGACCCUUUCCGGGGUUUAGUGCCGUAGCUAACGCAUUAAGCACUCCGCCUGGGGAGUACGACCGCAAGGUUGAAACUCAAGGAAUUGACGGGGGCCCGCACAGCGGUGGAGCAUGGUGGUUUAAUUCGAAGCAACGCGAGAACCUUACCAGGUCUUGACAUCCCUCUGACCGCUCUUAGAGAAUAGAGUUUUCUUCAGGACAAAGGUGACAGGUGGUGCCUGGUUGUCGUUCACCUCAUGUCCUGGAAUGAUGGGUAAAUUCCCGCCACCACGCCACCCCCUAUGUGUGAGUUGUCGCUCACU